CCUGUGACCCAAUAUGUGGUCUAUCUUUGAAAAUGUCCCAUAUGAACUUGAGAAGAAUGUACAUUCUGUAUCUUUGGGGUGAAGUGUCUAUUAAAUCCAUUUGAUGUAGUGAGUAAUUUAGAGUUGCUGUUUCCUCGUUGAUUUUUUU